GCUAUCGGAGUCCGAUUUAGCCAUGCUAGUCGCACGGGCUUAGACCCGUGGCAUAUAGCUCAGUAACACGUGGCCAAACUACCCUACAGACCGCAAUAACCUCGGGAAACUGAGGCCAAUAGCGGAUAUAACUCUCAUGCUGGAGUGCCGAGAGUUAGAAACGUUCCGGCGCUGUAGGAUGUGGCUGCGGCCGAUUAGGUAGAUGGUGGGGUAACGGCCCCACCAUGCCGAUAAUCGGUACGGGUUGUGAGAGCAAGAACCCGGAGACGGUAUCUGAGACAAGAUACCGGGCCCUACGGGGCGCAGCAGGCGCGAAACCUUUACACUGCACGACAGUGCGAUAGGGGGACUCCGAGUGUGAGGGCAUAUAGCCCUCGCUUUUCUGUACCGUAAGGUGGUACAGGAACAAGGACUGGGCAAGACCGGUGCCAGCCGCCGCGGUAAUACCGGCAGUCCAAGUGAUGGCCGAUAUUAUUGGGCCUAAAGCGUCCGUAGCCGGCCGGACAAGUCCGUUGGGAAAUCGACGCGCUCAACGCGUCGGCGUCCAGCGGAAACUGUCCGGCUUGGGGCCGGAAGACCUGAGGGGUACGUCCGGGGUAGGAGUGAAAUCCUGUAAUCCUGGACGGACCACCAAUGGGGAAACCACCUCAGGAAGACGGACCCGACGGUGAGGGACGAAAGCCAGGGUCUCGAACCGGAUUAGAUACCCGGGUAGUCCUGGCUGUAAACAAUGCUCGCUAG
rnacentral:rRNA from 1 species